UACGUAGGGAGCAAGCGUUGUUCGGAUUUACUGGGCGUAAAGGGCGCGUAGGCGGCAAUUCAAGUCACUUGUGAAAUCUCCGGGCUUAACUCGGUACGGUCAAGUGAUACUGCUUUGCUAGAGUGCGGAAGGGGCAAUCGGAAUUCUCGGUGUAGCGGUGAAAUGCGUAGAUAUCGAGAGGAACACCUGAGGUGAAGACGGGUUGCUGGGCCGACACUGACGCUGACAGCGCGAAAGCCAGGGGAGCAAACGGG
rnacentral:rRNA from 1 species